AACGUAGGAGACGAACGUUAUCCGGAGUUACUGGGCGUAAAGGGCGUGCAGGCGGCCUGAUAAGUCUGGCGUGAAAGAUCCCGGCUUAACCGGGAAGGGUCGUCGGAUACUGUUGGGCUAGAGGGCGAUAGAGGCGGGUGGAAUUCCGGGUGUAGUGGUGAAAUGCGUAGAGAUCCGGAGGAACACCAGUGGCGAAGGCGACCCGCUGGGUCGCACCUGACGCUAAGACGCGACAGCAUGGGGAGCGAACGGG
rnacentral:rRNA from 1 species